AGAGCGCGUUGGGCUCUGGAAAGUCUCCAUAAUAAAAUCCAAAGCUUAGAAAAACGCAAGAAACAGAUCAAUUAUUAUUAUUUUAAUUUCAAAGUUGGACAAAGGAUACAUUGAAUAGGGGGGUUACCUCACAAACCUGUAUUUCCCCGCCUCUGGUUUCUUAGCAGGAUGGGAGAGUUGAGAGGACCUGCAGGGACUUCUUGAGCCCUGCCUAGGAUGCGGGCCUGAUUCCAGCCCUCGGGCUCCAGGAGCUGUUUCUCGUCUUCCAUGCCUUUCUGCCAUGCUGCCCUGCCUUGGAGCCAGACGACUAUGAACUUAAGCCUCUACAAACUCUUCCUGUCUCACAGUGGAAUCUCCUGUUCCUGCACACUAUUGCUAUUGUGAUGCCAUCCAUCCUGUGGGCCUUGCCAGGGCAAGCUGAAGACAGUGCCAUGACCUUGAAACUCCAGAAUUAGCCCAAUUCAGUACAAUGUCACAUGAAAAUCCACUUUUACAACUUUGGGAGGAGGUUGAAAGUGAGCCAUCAGAUGACUCAGUUACCAAUGAUGAAUUGGUUCAUGUAAGCCAAAGAAG
rnacentral:lncRNA from 1 species